rnacentral:lncRNA from 1 species
ACAGGUCACAAAUAUCACAUGGUGCCUAUUUUUUACUUUGCUGGAUUUAUAGGAUUUUGACAUUGCCAAUGAUUUGGAAUAAAUUGUAUAAAACUGGAAUUUCAAAACCAAUAUAAAUACAUUUUUUUGGCUAAAUAAAGGCAACAGUAGUAUACCGCUGUUCAAAACUCAUAAAUCUAUGGACAAAAAACAAAAUCGGGGUAACAAACUAAAACUGAGGGAAACGCAUUAAAUAUUAGAGGAGAACAACGACACAACAUUAAAAUGUAACACACACAGCAAUGGACUAAGCAUUAGACAACAUCCGAUGAGAAUAACCAAUAUAACAUCAAAACUAAAUACAUGAAUUUGGGAUAGAAAAGUACCGUGACACGUCUUAUAGUAAUGUGAAUUCACACUCAUAAAUAGGAGAAAACAAACGACACAACGGAAACACAACGUAAAAAUAUUACACACACAG